ACACACUUUUAUCACACCUUUUAGUUUUGUUCUGUCACAUGUCCAGUUCAGUCUGUAUCCUUCACAGAUCGAUUGUGUUCACCAGUCCCAUUCAGUCUGUUGUUUUCACUAGUCCCAUUCAGUCAGUUGUGUUGUGUCCACUAGUCCCUUUCGGUCUGUUGUGUUUACUAGUCCGAUCCAGUCUGCUAUCCCAUUCAGUCACUGUCCUUCACAGAUCUGAGGUGUUCACUAUUCCCAUCCAGUCUGUUCUGUUGUGUUCACUAGUCUCAUUCAGUCAGUUGUGUUCACUAGUCCCAUUCAGUUUGUUCUGUUGUGUCCACUAGUCCCUUUCGGUCUGUUGUGUUUACUAGUCCCAUUCAGUCUGUUAUGUUCACUAGUCCCAUUCAGUCACUAUCCCUCACAGGUCUGUUGUGGUCACUAGUCACAUUCAGUCACUGUCCUUCACAGGUCUGAGGUGUUCACUAUUCCCAUCCAGUCUGUUCUGUUGUGUUCACUAGUCCCAUUCGGGUCUUUUGUGUUCACUAGUCCCGUUCAGUCUGUUGUGUUCACUAGUCCCGUUCAGUCUGUUGUGUUCACUAGUCCCAUUCAGUCAGUUGUGUUCACUAGUCCCAUUCAGUCUGUUCUGUUGUGUUCACUAGUCCCAUUCAGGUCUGUUGUGUUCACUAUUCCCAUUCAGGUCUGUUGUGUUCAGUAGUCCCAUUCAGGUCUGUUGUGCUCACUGUUGCCUGUAUCUUUGUGGA